rnacentral:rRNA from 1 species
AUUGAACGCUGGCGGCAUGCCUUACACAUGCAAGUCGAACGGCAGCACGGGAGCAAUCCUGGUGGCGAGUGGCGAACGGGUGAGUAAUAUAUCGGAACGUGCCCAGUCGUGGGGAUAACGUAGCGAAAGUUACGCUAAUACCGCAUACGAUCUACGGAUGAAAGCGGGGGGACUCGCAAGAGCCUCGCGCGAUUGGAGCGGCCGAUAUCAGAUUAGGUAGUUGGUGGGGUAAAGGCUCACCAAGCCAACGAUCUGUAGCUGGUCUGAGAGGACGACCAGCCACACUGGAACUGAGACACGGUCCAGACUCCUACGGGAGGCAGCAGUGGGGAAUUUUGGGACAAUGGGCGCAAGCCUGAUCCAGCAAUGCCGCGUGAGCGAUGAAGGCCUC